GGCUUACACUUGAUCGCUGAACUUCAGGUAAGUUCUGUUGAAAAAUUCUAUUUACUGAUGCU
rnacentral:snoRNA from 1 species